GUCCAAACUUGUGAACCAUAGAUGUCUAUGAUUGGUUCAGAUUUGAUCUGGUCUGGACCAAAUUUGAACCAAUCACAGACAGCUAUGUUUCGGGUCAAAUCUGAACCAAUCAUAGACGUCUAUGUUUGGGCCAAAUAUAGGCCAGUCUGGACCGGACGUCUGUGGACGUUGAAAUCAAAGCCAGUUCAGACCGGACCAAAGCAGAACUCAACUUAGACUAGCUAGCUACUUUUGAAGUGAAGCUAGCUAGCAGCUAAAAGAGUCUAUAAGAAACAUUUGUCUCUGGGUGCUCUGGAGCCAAAAGGUGUCCCCCAAUGGACAGAAAUAUUGUCCAGAAAGUAUCUAAUUGGACAGAAAGCUACACAUCUGAACUCCCUACACUCAUUACCAGCAGUCAAGGCAAACCUGAGUCAAGGGAUGCUUGACUUCAACGGCGAUUGGCUGAAACGGACAAAUCUCUGACCGUCAAUUAACAGCUACACCAUUUCACAGUCAGCAGCAGCUACCAAAACAGACUCGGUGUCGGAGAGCCAGAAAGGUACAUGUUGGACUAUAGGAAGAAGAUUCUAGCCAUCCGCUCCAAGGAGAAUACUGUAAGGUAUCCUGAGAGUGUCUGACAGCUUAACAAAACCUCAAUACCCUCCAACUGCGUGGUCUUCCAUUGAGAGAGAUAGACUUUCUCACUCUCACCAAGGUAGCAAGUUGCAGAUGCACAUUCACCUGAACCAACCUAAGGUGCCGCAGUGCACCCACUAACACUCCUUUGUUGUUACUCACCAGGGUUUAGCCAAAAGUGUCUCUUUGGAAAAUAUCUACUUGGCUCACUGUGUUAAGGCUACAUCAACAUGUUUACAUGAUCUGUUUGUGUUCUCUCUAAUUUGUGUUUUCUAAUGUUCAGCUAUCUGCCAGAGCUCUGUUUCCCUCUAAUGGUGAUGGCGAGUAUGACAUACUCAGAGAAGAUCUGUAUUGAAGUCAUUACACAUUCAACAAUUGCAUGGGCAGAAUCAUGCAUCCUUAUUGUGUGGUAUUUGGGGUUGUGUGUGUGAGCUCCCGUUGACUGACCUCUCCCCUGCACUGCAGCAUCAAGCCAUGCGUAGGCACAGUGCAGCCUAGGCCGCGUCUCGGAGGUACCGAAGGCCUGAAUUUGAGGGCAUGGGAGGCCUCCACUGGGUCACUCAACUGCAACACCCUGGUGGGAGACAAAGUGGCGGCCGGCCCUUGCACAGGAGCUUGCUGAGGACCUCUGGGUCAAAGACGUGGAUCUGCAGAAGUGUGGGUUGUCCAACGAGAGGGCACUGUCUCUGCUGGAGGCUCUGAAGUCCAACUCCACUCUCUGUGUCCUUGACAUCAGGUGGAACCGCUUAAUGGACAACGAGCUGGUGAAGAUUGUGAUCGAAAGAGUUCUCAUAAACGCUAACGGUCAAUCCUCUCAGUACUCCUGGAUCAAGCCCUCGGCCCUCAAAGACCAGAGUUCAGGUGUUUCUCAGCAGCCACGCCCCAGAGCCAGCAGGUGUAUCCCGUUGCGCACUGCUAAACGCACUGGACGACAGAGGUGAGGGCAGUCGUCAAGGAGGAGCAGUAAAAUGAUCCCAUUGAAUUAAUGGAAAUCUCAUGUCUUCCUACAGGACGAAACGUGUAUCUUUAUAACAAUAAUAAAGAAUAAAGACUGAAGUCAACUUCCAUUGUCCUCCAUGAGUGCCUGAAUAUUCUCAAGUUUAAUGUUUUAUUAGAAGCAUGUACAGGAGUCACAUGGUAUACACUGUCCAACAAAAUGCUUACAUGCAGUUUCCUUCUCAACAAUGCAACAAUAAGUUGCAUAAUAAAAGAUAAGAAUACAAGCAUAAAGUAACCCUUAGUUCUCUUUAAUGUCCUCCUGUCUUGACAGAGGGCUUCCUCCAGGCAAUACAGUGGCAGAGCUUUGUGGUAAGCAAUCCAUUUCUCAUAUGAUUAGAGACUAAUUCUGACACAGUGCACAUCCUUACAGUGUGGCGUUUUAAAACGUGACUACUUCAAACUGCAGUGCAUCCCAUGAUUGGCUCAUGUUUGUUUUUCCACAGAAAAAAAAUGUAUGCUCUCCAACAAAUUAAAAUAAUACAAAUGUUUGCAUGUUAUUUUGAAAUUAAUACGU